GGCAACUUCGGUUAGUGGUUAUUCCGUUGGCCUGCUACUAAAACAAGCUUUGUAACAAAGCCAAUGCCUUCGGGCGCGUGAGUUCGAAUCUCACAGUUGUCG
rfam:Magnaporthe oryzae 70-15 chromosome 4, whole genome shotgun sequence.